rnacentral:rRNA from 1 species
UACGUAGGGGGCUAGCGUUGUCCGGAAUCAUUGGGCGUAAAGAGCGUGUAGGCGGUCCGGUAAGUCCGCUGUGAAAGUCGGGGGCUCAACCCUCGAAUGCCGGUGGAUACUGUCGGACUAGAGUACGGAAGAGGCGAGUGGAAUUCCUGGUGUAGCGGUGAAAUGCGCAGAUAUCAGGAGGAACACCAAUUGCGAAGGCAGCUCGCUGGGACGUUACUGACGCUGAGACGCGAAAGCGUGGGGGAGCAAACAGG